AGGUGGAAGGAUUGCUUGAGCCUGGGAGGUGGAGGCUGCAGUGAGCUGAGAUCAUGCCACUGCACUCCAGCCUGAGUGACAGAGCGAGACUCUGUGUC
rnacentral:miRNA from 1 species